UAGUCCACGCCGUAAACGAUGGAUACUAGCUGUUCGGAAUUUAUUCUGAGUGGCUAAGCGAAAGUGAUAAGUAUCCCACCUGGGGAGUACGUUCGCAAGAAUGAAACUCAAAGGAAUUGACGGGGGCCCGCACAAGCGGUGGAGCAUGUGGUUUAAUUCGAUGAUACGCGAGGAACCUUACCAGGGCUUAAAUGUAGAUUGCAUGAUUUAGAGAUAGAUCUUUCUUCGGACCAUCUACAAGGUGCUGCAUGGUUGUCGUCAGCUCGUGCCGUGAGGUGUCAGGUUAAGUCCUAUAACGAGCGCAACCCCUGUUGUUAGUUGCCAGCGAGUCAUGUCGGGAACUCUAACAAGACUGCCAGUGCAAACUGUGAGGAAGGUGGGGGAUGACGUCAAAUCAUCACGGGCCCUUACGUCCCUGGGGCUACACACGUGCUACAAUGGGUAGGUACAGAGGGGCAGCUA
rnacentral:rRNA from 1 species